rnacentral:rRNA from 1 species
UGCAAGUCGAACGGCAGCACGGGAGCAAUCCUGGUGGCGAGUGGCGAACGGGUGAGUAAUAUAUCGGAACGUGCCCAGUCGUGGGGGAUAACGCAGCGAAAGCUGUGCUAAUACCGCAUACGAUCUCUGGAUGAAAGCGGGGGACUCGCAAGGGCCUCGCGCGAUUGGAGCGGCCGAUAUCAGAUUAGGUAGUUGGUGGGGUAAAGGCCCACCAAGCCGACGAUCUGUAGCUGGUCUGAGAGGACGACCAGCCACACUGGAACUGAGACACGGUCCAGACUUCUACGGGAGGCAGCAGUGGGGAAUUUUGGACAAUGGGCGCAAGCCUGAUCCAGCAAUGCCGCGUGCAGGAUGAAGGCCUUCGGGUUGUAAACUGCUUUUGUACGGAACGAAACGGUCUACCCUAAUACGGUGGGCUAAUGACGGUACCGUAAGAAUAAGCACCGGCUAACUACGUGCCAGCAGCCGCGGUAAUACGUAGGGUGCGAGCGUUAAUCGGAAUUACUGGGCGUAAAGCGUGCGCAGGCGGUUAUAUAAGACAGAUGUGAAAUCCCCGGGCUCAACCUGGGACCUGCAUUUGUGACUGUAUAGCUAGAGUACGGUAGAGGGGGAUGGAAUUCCGCGUGUAGCGGUGAAAUGCGUAGAUAUGCGGAGGAACACCGAUGGCGAAGGCAAUCCCCUGGAC